rnacentral:rRNA from 1 species
UGGGGAAUAUUUGGCAAUGGGUGAAAGCCUGACCAAGCAAUGCCGCGUGGAGGAAGAAGGUCUUUGGAUUGUAAUCUCCUUUUCUCAAUGAAGAAGUUCUGACGGUACUUGAGGAAUAAGCAUCGGCUAAUUCUGUGCCAGCAGCCGCGGUAAUACAGGAGAUGCAAGCGUUAUCCGGAAUUAUUGGGCGUAAAGCGUCUGUAGAUCGUUUAAAAAGUUUGGUGUUAAAUAUCAAAGCUUAACUUUGAAAUGGCAUCAAAAACUCUUAAACUUGAGUGCAAUAGGGGCAAGGGGAAUUUUCAGUGUAGCGGUGAAAUGCGUAGAGAUUGAAAAGAACACCAAUGGCGAAAGCACCUUGCUAGGUUGAGACUGACAUUGAGAGACGAAAGCUAGGGGAGCA